CCUACGGGUGGCUGCAGUGGGGAAUUUUGGACAAUGGGGGCAACCCUGAUCCAGCCAUUCCGCGUGAGUGAAGAAGGCCUUCGGGUUGUAAAGCUCUUUUGUCCGGAGCGAAACGGGCGGCCCUAAUACGGUCGUCUACUGACGGUACCGGAAGAAUAAGCACCGGCUAACUACGUGCCAGCAGCCGCGGUAAUACGUAGGGUGAGAGCGUUAAUCGGAAUUACUGGAGGCAAAGCGUGAGCCGAGAGGUGAAAUCCCCGGGCUCAACCUGGGAGUGGCAUUUGGAACUGAAAGGCUGGAGUGUGGCAGAGGGGACUAGAAUUCCUGGUGUAGCAGUGAAAUGCGUAGAGAUCAGGAGGAAUACCGAUGGCGAAGGCAGGUCCCUGGGUUAACACUGACGCUCAUGCACGAAAGCGUGGGGAGCAAACAGGAUUAGAUACCCCAGUAGUC
rnacentral:rRNA from 1 species